UCUUGCCGACUCCUCCCAUACC
rnacentral:miRNA from 1 species